AGCGGCGGACGGGUGAGUAAUGCCUGGGAAAUUGCCCUGAUGUGGGGGAUAACCAUUGGAAACGAUGGCUAAUACCGCAUAAUAGCUUCGGCUCAAAGAGGGGGACCUUCGGGCCUCUCGCGUCAGGAUAUGCCCAGGUGGGAUUAGCUAGUUGGUGAGGUAAUGGCUCACCAAGGCGACGAUCUCUAGCUGGUCUGAGAGGAUGAUCAGCCACACUGGAACUGAGACACGGUCCAGACUCCUACGGGAGGCAGCAGUGGGGAAUAUUGCACAAUGGGCGCAAGCCUGAUGCAGCCAUGCCGCGUGUAUGAAGAAGGCCUUCGGGUUGUAAAGUACUUUCAGCAGUGAGGAAGGUGGGUAUGUUAAUAGCAUAUUCAUUUGACGUUAGCAGCAGAAGAAGCACCGGCUAACUCCGUGCCAGCAGCCGCGGUAAUACGGAGGGUGCGAGCGUUAAUCGGAAUUACUGGGCGUAAAGCGCAUGCAGGUGGUUUGUUAAGUCAGAUGUGAAAGCCCGGGGCUCAACCUCGGAAUUGCAUUUGAAACUGGCAAA
rnacentral:rRNA from 1 species